UACGUAGGGUGCGAGCGUUGUCCGGAAUUAUUGGGCGUAAAGAGCUCGUAGGCGGUGUGUCACGUCGUUCGUGAAAACCUGCAGCUUAACUGUGGGCGUGCGGUCGAUACGGGCAUCACUGGAGUUCGGCAGGGGAGACUGGAAUUCCUGGUGUAGCGGUAAAAUGCGCAGAUAUCAGGAGGAACACCGGUGGCGAAGGCGGGUCUCUGGGCCGAUACUGGACGCUGAGGAGCGAAAGCGUGGGGAGCGAACAGG
rnacentral:rRNA from 1 species